CAGCACCAUGCUUUCAGGAAUAUUUUCUAUAGCCGGUAACUAGAGAAUUGUGCUUGAAUGAGCCUUGCCUCGCUCUUUAAGAUGAUGAACUGGAAGGUUUUCAACAUGACGGAGGCAGGAAGUGCUUUGUUGAUGAAGCUGUGUUAUGCUUUUGAUGAUUGCUCUGUUUUUCCAGUAAGAAAAGUAGAUGACAAUCUCUUCUGAGUGGU